ACUGAACGCUGGCGGCAUGCCUUACACAUGCAAGUCGAACGGUAACGCGGGGCAACCUGGCGACGAGUGGCGAACGGGUGAGUAAUGCAUCGGAACGUGCCCAGUAGUGGGGGAUAGCCCGGCGAAAGCCGGAUUAAUACCGCAUACGACCUACGGGUAAAAGCGGGGGAUCGCAAGACCUCGCGCUAUUGGAGCGGCCGAUGUCAGAUUAGGUAGUUGGUGGGGUAAAGGCCCACCAAGCCUUCGAUCUGUAGCUGGUCUGAGAGGACGACCAGCAACACUGGGACUGAGACACGGCCCAGACUCCUACGGGAGGCAGCAGUGGGGAAUUUUGGACAAUGGGCGCAAGCCUGAUCCAGCCAUGCCGCGUGCGGGAAGAAGGCCUUCGGGUUGUAAACCGCUUUUGUCAGGGAAGAAACGCUCCGGGCUAAUACCCUGGGGUAAUGACGGUACCUGAAGAAUAAGCACCGGCUAACUACGUGCCAGCCGCCGCAGUAAGAC
rnacentral:rRNA from 1 species